UCGGCAUAAUUUGGGAAGUGGUUAAUAAGGGAGUAUUUAUAAAGGCAUGGCUUAGGGAAACCUGGAACCUAGAAUGAAGUUAUAUUGAGAGGGUUACCUUCAUCAGAGCUGAGAUCACCCACAUGGAGGGAGCUGGAGGAAUAAAUACCCUGACCUCACUCCUCAAUUCCACUCUGCCAGGACUUUUUCUUGGCCAUACUCAACCAGAAACCAGGAAGCAAGAGAACCUAUUGAUACGGUCUAUAAGGGUCAAUCUCCAAAUAAUGGAGCAGGGUGGAUGAUCUGUUGAUCUGGAGGGGCAAAUGGAAGAACUGCAUUAAUAAAUAAUAUCAUUUCCCAUU
rnacentral:lncRNA from 10 species